CGUGUAGGCGGUUUUAUAAGUCUGAUGUGAAAGCCCCGGGCUCAACCUGGGAAGUGCAUUGGAUACUGUAAGACUUGAAUACGGGAGAGGGCAGUGGAAUUCCUAGUGUAGGAGUGAAAUCCGUAGAUAUUAGGAGGAACACCGGUGGCGAAGGCGGCUGCCUGGACCGAUAUUGACGCUGAGACGCGAAAGCGUGGGUAGCAAACA
rnacentral:rRNA from 1 species